AGUGAUCAUUGGUGGCAGGCUUAACACAUGCAAGUCGAACGGUCCUUCGGGAUAGUGGCGGACGGGUGAGUAACACGUGGGAACGUACCCUUAGGUUCGGAACAACACAGGGAAACUUGUGCUAAUACCGGAUAAGCCCUUCGGGGGAAAGAUUUAUCGCCUUUGGAGCGGCCCGCGUCUGAUUAGUUUGUUGGUGAGGUAAUGGCUCACCAAGGCUACGAUCAGUAGCUGGUCUGAGAGGAUGGCCAGCCACACUGGGACUGAGACACGGCCCAGACUCCUACGGGAGGCAGCAGUGGGGAAUCUUGCGCAAUGGGCGAAAGCCUGACGCAGCCAUGCCGCGUGGGUGAUGAAGGUCUUAGGAUUGUAAAAUCCUUUCACCGGGGACGAUAAUGACGGUACCCGGAGAAGAAGCCCCGGCUAACUUCGUGCCAGCCGUCGCCGUAA
rnacentral:rRNA from 1 species